rnacentral:rRNA from 1 species
GACGAACGCUGGCGGCGUGCUUAACACAUGCAAGUCGAGCGGAAAGGCCCUUCGUGGUACUCGAGCGGCGAACGGGUGAGUAACACGUGAGUAACCUGCCCCAGACUUUGGGAUAACCCUCGGAAACGGGGGCUAAUACCGGAUACGACACAGCUUCGCAUGGGGUCUGUGUGGAAAGUUUUUCGGUUUGGGAUGGGCUCGCGGCCUAUCAGCUUGUUGGUGGGGUGAUGGCCUACCAAGGCGACGACGGGUAGCCGGCCUGAGAGGGCGACCGGCCACACUGGGACUGAGACACGGCCCAGACUCCUACGGGAGGCAGCAGUGGGGAAUAUUGCACAAUGGGCGGAAGCCUGAUGCAGCGACGCCGCGUGGGGGAUGACGGCCUUCGGGUUGUAAACCUCUUUCAGCAGGGACGCAGCGUAAGUGACGGUACCUGCAGAAGAAGCGCCGGCCAACUACGUG